AUUGAACGCUGGCGGUAUGCCUUACACAUGCAAGUCGAACGGUAGAGGGGCAACCCUUGAGAGUGGCGAACGGGUGAGUAAUACAUCGGAACGUGCCCAGUCGUGGGGGAUAACGUAGCGAAAGCUACGCUAAUACCGCAUACGACCUGAGGGUGAAAGCGGGGGAUCGCAAGACCUCGCGUGAUUGGAGCGGCCGAUAUCAGAUUAGGUAGUUGGUGGGGUAAAGGCUCACCAAGCCGACGAUCUGUAGCUGGUCUGAGAGGACGACCAGCCAAGCUGGGACUGAGACACGGCGCAGACUCCUACGGGAGGCAGCAGUGGGGAAUUUUGGACAAUGGGCGAAAGCCUGAUCCAGCGAUGCCGCGUGCAGGAUGAAGGCCUUCGGGUUGUAAACUGCUUUUGUACGGAACGAAAAGGUUUGGGCUAAUAAGCUGAGCUCAUGACGGUACCGUAAGAAUAAGCACCGGCUAACUACGUGCCAGCCGCCGCCGUAA
rnacentral:rRNA from 1 species